CAAAAAUAAAGUAAAAAUAUCAAGAAUGGUAGAACGUGUCAGUUCAUUCUUAGCCUAGUAUAGAGGAUAAAUGUGUAGAUAUUACAUACUUGGCCAAUAAAACCUGAGAAAUUUGUGGAUAUUAUUUUCUGAGCUAAACCUCGAGAAAUUUGAGGAUAUCGUACACCAUUCCACGUCAACAUAAAUACAGUUCGCAUGCUAGUUCCCACAUACUGGAUUCAGGUUCAUUGGUAAUGGAGGCCUUGUGUACUAUGCAAUACAAAGAAAACUACAUUCAUGUGUCAACAUUUGCUGUUAUUGACAGGGAUAUACACAGAUCAUUGUGGAUUAUAAAUGAAAGUUGGAUCUUUAAAAGCGACCACGUUACCUAACUGGAAUAGUGUUUUGAAGGAGAUGUAAUUUCGUAUUACUUUGAAUAUUGCAAAUAUAUGGGCAUUUGUUUUCGUAAUGUGAAAUGAUAACGUUUCUCGAAAAUGUCAGGACAGAAAUAUUCAAUAAUUACAUUCUAACCAUAUCAAGUUAUGUAAGAUGUACAAACAGUGACAAAAAAUCAUGAUGAAAUAUAUUGAAAAUCUUGUAA
rnacentral:misc_RNA from 1 species